AAAUUUCGAAAAAGUCAGAGACAAAGUUCAAGAUUUUUAUUGUUAUAAAUUUAUUUGUUUUUGAUAACCGACAUACUCCAUGCGGUUUAACGGGUAAAUAAAACUAAGAAUACAAAUAGAAUGAUUGUGGGAACUAUAGAAUAGUUAAACCUGCUGCAAAUUUGUGAAAAGUUAGUUCUCCUGACUAGCACUCAGCAUAUUCAUCAUAUGUGAGGCCAGAGACAGCCAUUAUAACCACACAAUAUGCAAGUUUGUCUUGUGCAGGUGUUAACCUGUCACCAGCAACAAUCUCAGAACCAUCUCUUGGAUAAAAAGCAUCCCAUAGCAUUGUCAAUCGAGUUACGGAUCUAUCUUUUUCCCCUUUCUUUAAAUGCUCUCGUGUACCAUGUGAAUGUGGGUGUAUUCACGAGGACACCCCCUUUAUUAUCCCGU